rnacentral:rRNA from 1 species
GCCCGGGAACGUAUUCACCGUGGCAUUCUGAUCCACGAUUACUAGCGAUUCCGACUUCAUGGAGUCGAGUUGCAGACUCCAAUCCGGACUACGACGCACUUUUUGGGAUUCGCUCACCAUCGCUGGUUGGCAGCCCUCUGUAUGCGCCAUUGUAGCACGUGUGUAGCCCUACUCGUAAGGGCCAUGAUGACUUGACGUCGUCCCCACCUUCCUCCGGUUUAUCACCGGCAGUCUCCCUGGAGUUCCCGACAUUACUCGCUGGCAAACAAGGAUAAGGGUUGCGCUCGUUGCGGGACUUAACCCAACAUUUCACAACACGAGCUGACGACAGCCAUGCAGCACCUGUCUCAAAGUUCCCGAAGGCACACCUGCGUCUCCGCUGGCUUCUCUGGAUGUCAAGAGUAGGUAAGGUUCUUCGCGUUGCAUCGAAUUAAACCACAUGCUCCACCGCUUGUGCGGGCCCCCGUCAAUUCAUUUGAGUUUUAAUCUUGCGACCGUACUCCCCAGGCGGUCUACUUAACGCGUUAGCUCCGAA